UUCACCCUUCUAAUGAAAGUGUGCAGCUUAAAAGAUGAGUAGCUGAAUGGAGAUAAAAGAAGUAGAGAAUAAUUAAAGGUUAAAUUUAGUUGUUUUAAUUGAUCUUUAUGGUGGUGAGUCAUGUAACCGAAUAAAUGGACCAGGAUUAGAUACCCUGUUACUUUCGGUGUAAAGGAUGUAUAACUGCUGGGCGACUACGUCUUAACGGGUAAAAGUCGAAGUGCUUGGCGGUUCAAGAAACCGGCCCCGUGAGACUUGACGGUUAAUCUGAUGAUCCGCAUUAUUCCUUACUUAGCCUUAAUGCUGGUGUAUGGUCGUCGAUAAGUUUAGGUUGUAAGACAGGAGGCUUGACCCAACGCGUUGGACGAAGUCAGAUCGUUAUGCCGCGAUGGUUAAGGCUUAGUUGAGUCACAUUGAAUAAAUUUUCGGAAUAUUUAUAGAAAUAUAGGUAGAAAGAAGGAAUGGGAAGUAAUAAAAAAAUAGUUUGUUUUUAUGAAUGGGGAUCUUUUGAGUGUACAAAUCGCCCGU
rnacentral:rRNA from 1 species